GACGAACGCUGGCGGCGUGCCUAACACAUGCAAGUCAACGAGAAAGGGGUAGCAAUAUCCCGAGUAAAGUGGCGCACGGGUGAGUAACACGUAGGCAAUCUGCCUUCAGGACGGGGAUAAUUUCGCGAAAGCGGGACUAAUACCCGAUUAUGCAGCGGCACCGCAUGGUGACAGUUGUUAAAAGCCGCAAGGCGCCUGGAGAUGAGCCUGCGUCCCACUAGCUAGUUGGUGGGGUAACGGCCUACCAAGGCGACGAUGGGUAGCUGGUCUGAGAGGAUGAUCAGCCACACUGGAACUGAGACACGGUCCAGACUCCUACGGGAGGCAGCAGUGGGGAAUUUUGCGCAAUGGGGGAAACCCUGACGCAGCAACGCCGCGUGAGUGAUGAAGCCUUCGGGUCGUAAGCUCUGUCAGAGGGAAGAGUGUACGGUGCUAUACAUCUGUACUGACGUACCUCAAGAGCACGGCUACUCGUGCA
rnacentral:rRNA from 1 species